rfam:Glycine soja cultivar W05 scaffold122_74, whole genome shotgun sequence.
UUCUUAUUGGAUGAUGUUUGUCAUGUGUCAUGUUCUGAGAUUGGAUGUCAACUUCAUAAAAAAUAAAAUGUAUUAUUAUUUUCAUUGAUCAAUCAGAUAUGAUACGUGACAGUCAUUAUCC